AAGGGCACCACAAGAACGCGUGGAGCAUGUGGCUUAAUUUGACUCAACGCGGGAAAUCUUACCGGGUCCGGACACACUGAGGAUUGACAGGCAAUAUUACAGUCUGUGCAUACUCUUUAUUGAGUUUCGCGCGAUUGUAUGUUAAAUAUGCUAGUCCUUUCAUGAUUAUGUGAUAGGUGGUGCAUGGCCGUUCUUAGUUCGUGGAGUGAUCUGUCUGCUUAAUUGCGUUUCACUAAGGAACUAUAUUAUUCAUGUAUGUUGUUAGCGCAUUGACCCCUCGUUUUCGUGUCAACUUUCUCCUCAGAGAUUGUAUAGCAUUAUGAAUGUAGCGNGCGUCUUUGAUUCUUACGUCUAGCUCAUACGAUUAGUUCCUGAAAGCAACGAACGUGACCGCAACCUCUUGUUGCCUUCAUUUCCAAUACGCGUAUUUGUUCCACGCAAUUUGCUCUCUCCAGAGUUCAUUGUUUUGUGUGAUCAAGCGUGUAUACGGAGGCUUUCUAAACUAGAGGGACCGCUGUUAUCUUCUUAAACCAGAGGAAGGUUGCGGCAAUAACAGGUCUGUGAUGCCCUUAGAUGUUCCGGGCUGCACACGUGCUACAAUGAUUAUUGCAGUGAGCAUCUCAUUUAAAAUUUAAUACAUCGCAAGCGCGAGUCCGUUUGUUCUUUGUUUCAGUUCAUGCUGUUCAAAGCUUCAAAUGAGUAUCUCUGCGCGCGAUAAAGCCUGCUUUGAAAGUUUAGUGGGUAAUCAAUUAGAAGUAAUGAUUUCCUAAAUUUAUCGCACUUAUAUGUAUGGCGUCUUUACCCAGCUAGCCUUUUGUGCUAGAAUCCGUGUGUAUUGACGAUUGAUUUCUUAAUCAAUUGCCUAAUCUUAUGGUACCUUACGUGCAAUUGUCAAUUCAUGGUGGGGACAGACCAUUGUUAAUUGUUGGUCUCGGUCUUAACUAGGAAUGCCUUGUACGGGUCUUUGGUUCAACAGACCACCCGGAAUACGUCCCUGCCCUUUGUACACACCGCCCGUCGCUCUUACCGAUGGACUUCUCUGUGAGUUUGAGGGACUGGGUCGCGAUCUUAGAAACUCUGUUUUCUAAAAUCAUAGACCUAUGGAAACUUAAACGAACAGUGUGGUUUAAAGGAAAGAGAAGUCGAACAAGGCA
rnacentral:rRNA from 1 species